rnacentral:rRNA from 1 species
GAUGAACGCUAGCGGCAGGCUUAACACAUGCAAGUCGAGGGGUAGAGGUUGCUUGCAACCUUGAGACCGGCGCACGGGUGCGUAACGCGUAUGCAACCUACCUUUUACAGAGGGAUAGCCCAGAGAAAUUUGGAUUAAUACCUCAUAGUAUAUAACCUUCGCAUGUUGGUUAUAUUAAAGUUCCAACGGUAAAAGAUGGGCAUGCGUCCUAUUAGCUAGAUGGUAAGGUAACGGCUUACCAUGGCAACGAUAGGUAGGGGUCCUGAGAGGGAGAUGCCCCAACCUGGUACUGAGACACGGACCAGACUCCUACGGGAGGCAGCAGUGAGGAAUAUUGGACAAUGGGCGCAAGCCUGAUCCAGCCAUGCCGCGUGCAGGAAGAAGCAUCUAUGGUGUGUAAACUGCUUUUGUACGGAACGAAAAGGACUGCCCUAAUACGGUGGUCCCAUGACGGUACCGUAAGAAUAAGCACCGGCUAACUACGUGCCAGCAGCCGCGGUAA